UACGUAGGGUGCGAGCGUUGUCCGGAAUUAUUGGGCGUAAAGAGCGUGUAGGCGGCCAGGUAGGUCUGCUGUGAAAACUCGAGGCUUAACCUCGAGAUGUCGGCGGAAACCAUCUGGCUAGAGUCCGGAAGAGGAGAGUGGAAUUCCUGGUGUAGCGGUGAAAUGCGCAGAUAUCGAAGGAAGAACCAGCCCGUAGGCGGAAGGCG
rnacentral:rRNA from 1 species